UACAGAGGUCUCAAGCGUUGUUCGGAUUCAUUGGGCGUAAAGGGUGCGUAGGCGGCGCGGUAAGUCGGGUGUGAAAUCUUGGAGCUUAACUCCGAAACUGCAUUCGAUACUGCCGUGCUUGAGGACUGGAGAGGAGACUGGAAUUUACGGUGUAGCGGUGAAAUGCGUAGAUAUCAUUUGGAACGCCAAUGGUGAAAACAGGUAGCUGGGGCUGUGCUGACACUGAGACACGAAAGCCAGGGGAGCGAACGGG
rnacentral:rRNA from 1 species